UUUUUCAGUGCUUCAUGCAUUUGAAUCUCUUUCUUCAUGUUUAUUAAUUGCAGACAUAAAUAUAUUAAAUUUGAGUUAUUUUUUUCUUCAUUUUUUUAGUUUAGGUGGCUGUUAUGUUAAAUGUGUAACCAUACAAUGUUAUGUUUAUAACAAAAGAGUGUCAUUAUGUUUUGUAUUUAGUUAUCCAUUUUGCUUCUUAUAGAAUACUGAGAUAAGGGUCUCUUUAGAGGCCUUGGCCUGUCAAGGAUUAUAUUUAUCAUCCAUCC
rnacentral:lncRNA from 1 species